GAUGAACGCUAGCGGCAGGCCUAACACAUGCAAGUCGAGGGGUAGAGGAAGCUUGCUUCCUUGAGACCGGCGCACGGGUGCGUAACGCGUAUGCAAUCUACCUUUUACAGAGGGAUAGCCCAGUGAAAUUUGGAUUAAUACCUCAUAGUAUUUUCGAAUGGCAUCAUUUGAUUAUUAAAGUUCCAACGGUAAAAGAUGAGCAUGCGUCCUAUUAGCUAGAUGGUAAGGUAACGGCUUACCAUGGCAACGAUAGGUAGGGGUCCUGAGAGGGAGAGCCCCCACACUGGUACUGAGACACGGACCAGACUUCUCCGGGAGGCAGCAGUGAGGAAUAUUGGACAAUGGGCGCAAGCCUGAUCCAGCCAUGCCGCGUGCAGGAAGACGGUCCUCUGGAUUGUAAACUGCUUUUGUUAGGGAAGAAACUUCCGUACGUGUACGGGACUGACGGUACCUAAAGAAUAAGGAUCGGCUAACUCCGUGCCAGCAGCCGCCGUAAUAC
rnacentral:rRNA from 1 species